UACGAAGGGGGCUAGCGUUGUUCGGAAUUACUGGGCGUAAAGCGCGCGUAGGCGGUGAUCCAUGUCAGAGGUGAAAGCCCGGGGCUCAACUCCGGAAUUGCCUUUGAAACGGGAUCGCUAGAGUCCGAGAGAGGAUGGCGGAAUUCCUAGUGUAGAGGUGAAAUUCGUAGAUAUUAGGAAGAACACCGGUGGCGAAGGCGGCUCACUGGCCCGAUACUGACGCUGAGGCACGAAAGCGUGGGGAGCAAACAGG
rnacentral:rRNA from 1 species